rnacentral:lncRNA from 1 species
UCAAUUGCAAAUAUGGAGAGAAAAGAUGAUCUGAAAUCACAAAGUUGGGAUUCUGAAUCGAGUAGAACGGAUGGUCUAGUCGACACACGCGUCUACAAGGAAGUAGCAAUGGCUAAACUUACAUCAAAACAAAACCCAAUCUAUUUGUGAUGGCUCUAAUCCUUAUUAAUACCUAGGAGAAUGACUAGGGGGCUGUUAGGUCAUGCUCGAACCCUAGGACAUAUCCCUAAUGGACCCAACUUGAUACACAAC